GGUGCUUGCAUCAUGAUUUACAUUUGAGUGAGUGGCGAACUGGUGAGUAACACGUGGGAAACCUGCCCAGAAGCGGGGGAUAACACCUGGAAACAGAUGCUAAUACCGCAUAACAACUUGGACCGCAUGGUCCGAGCUUGAAAGAUGGCUUCGGCUAUCACUUUUGGAUGGUCCCGCGGCGUAUUAGCUAGAUGGUGGGGUAACGGCUCACCAUGGCAAUGAUACGUAGCCGACCUGAGAGGGUAAUCGGCCACAUUGGGACUGAGACACGGCCCAAACUCCUACGGGAGGCAGCAGUAGGGAAUCUUCCACAAUGGACGAAAGUCUGAUGGAGCAACGCCGCGUGAGUGAAGAAGGGUUUCGGCUCGUAAAACUCUGUUGUUAAAGAAGAACAUAUCUGAGAGUAACUGUUCAGGUAUUGACGGUAUUUAACCAGAAAGCCACGGCUAACUACGUGCCAGCAGCCGCGGUAAUACGUAGGUGGCAAGCGUUGUCCGGAUUUAUUGGGCGUAAAGCGAGCGCAGGCGGUUUUUUAAGUCUGAUGUGAAAGCCUUCGGCUCAACCGAAGAAGUGCAUCGGAAACUGGGAAACUUGAGUGCAGAAGAGGACAGUGGAACUCCAUGUGUAGCGGUGAAAUGCGUAGAUAUAUGGAAGAACACCAGUGGCGAAGGCGGCUGUCUGGUCUGUAACUGACGCUGAGGCUCGAAAGUAUGGGUAGCAAACAGGAUUAGAUACCCUGGUAGUCCAUACCGUAAACGAUGAAUGCUAAGUGUUGGAGGGUUUCCGCCCUUCAGUGCUGCAGCUAACGCAUUAAGCAUUCCGCCUGGGGAGUACGGCCGCAAGGCUGAAACUCAAAGGAAUUGACGGGGGCCCGCACAAGCGGUGGAGCAUGUGGUUUAAUUCGAAGCUACGCGAAGAACCUUACCAGGUCUUGACAUACUAUGCAAAUCUAAGAGAUUAGACGUUCCCUUCGGGGACAUGGAUACAGGUGGUGCAUGGUUGUCGUCAGCUCGUGUCGUGAGAUGUUGGGUUAAGUCCCGCAACGAGCGCAACCCUUAUUAUCAGUUGCCAGCAUUAAGUUGGGCACUCUGGUGAGACUGCCGGUGACAAACCGGAGGAAGGUGGGGAUGACGUCAAAUCAUCAUGCCCCUUAUGACCUGGGCUACACACGUGCUACAAUGGAUGGUACAACGAGUUGCGAACUCGCGAGAGUAAGCUAAUCUCUUAAAGCCAUUCUCAGUUCGGAUUGUAGGCUGCAACUCGCCUACAUGAAGUCGGAAUCGCUAGUAAUCGCGGAUCAGCAUGCCGCGGUGAAUACGUUCCCGGGCCUUGUACACACCGCCCGUCACACCAUGAGAGUUU
rnacentral:rRNA from 2 species